rnacentral:rRNA from 1 species
AACGGUAGCACAGAGGAGCUUGCUCCUUGGGUGACGAGUGGCGGACGGGUGAGUAAUGUCUGGGAAACUGCCCGAUGGAGGGGGAUAACUACUGGAAACGGUAGCUAAUACCGCAUAACGUCGCAAGACCAAAGAGGGGGACCUUCGGGCCUCUUGCCAUCGGAUGUGCCCAGAUGGGAUUAGCUAGUAGGUGGGGUAACGGCUCACCUAGGCGACGAUCCCUAGCUGGUCUGAGAGGAUGACCAGCCACACUGGAACUGAGACACGGUCCAGACUCCUACGGGAGGCAGCAGUGGGGAAUAUUGCACAAUGGGCGCAAGCCUGAUGCAGCCAUGCCGCGUGUAUGAAGAAGGCCUUCGGGUUGUAAAGUACUUUCAGCGAGGAGGAAGGCGUUGUGGUUAAUAACCGCAACGAUUGACGUUACUCGCAGAAGAAGCACCGGCUAACUCCGUGCCAGCAGCCGCGGUAAUACGGAGGGUGCAAGCGUUAAUCGGAAUUACUGGGCGUAAGCGCACGCAGGCGGUCUGUCAAGUCGGAUGUGAAUC